CAUUAAUGAAAAAUAAUAUAGUGAUAGAUAUAAUAUUAAACCCUUUUCUAUAUUUAAUGUAAAAAAAUAGUAUUAAUUAAACACUUUUCUUACUUUUUGUUUAAUUAAACCCUCUGUUUGAAAAUGUCACCGCUCGAGCCGAUCUCUGGUUACAAACUCAUCUCACUUCUUCUCUGUUCAGAAGUUGUGCUCUGCAAAUUGAAGGCAAAAGCUUUGAGCUUUUCAAUGGAGGAACAAGUGCCUAGCACGAGCAAAUCACUAUCUCAAUCUUUCAACAAAUUUUCAGCGAGGAAACUGUCUCCGAAUGCCUUAUUAGUAUGGUGAGGAGGCGAUUUGAGCCUGGAUGUGUGCUUCAUGUUGUUCCUUCCGUGGUUCGUACUCUAUGCAUGUUGAUUCGUGGUGUUUGUUUGGUGGGGGUAUCCUUAGGGCUUUUUCACUUGCUUUGAAUUGUUGGAGCUGGCUAGGAUUAGAAAUCUGAUUAUUUUCAUGUUUUCCGUUGUGGAUUUGUGCUGUUUGUUUUAAUACCCCGUAUGAUUUGUUGUGAUUAACACUCAUAUGAAUCAGAUUGAAAGUUUUCAUCUUGUUUUACUCCUACUACUAAAAUGCUGACAUUUUUCCCUUCAUCUGCUUUCUAGAAGAUAUUCAAUUGCGUUGUUCUUGGUGUUUCUAAAAGAUACUUAACUGCAUAUUAUUUUGGACAUUAUUUUAGAUUCAACACUUGGAGUAGUGAUCUGCUUUUAAAAGGGAUUACUCCAUCUCUCUAGCUGAAGCAGUUCAAGCAUCGUCAAAGCUUAGAAUGUAUAUCUUUAUUUAUGGUACAUUGACUUUUUUCCCCAGCAUUUUGACAUUUGUCUUGGUCUCGAUCAAAGCUUAGAAGUUAUUGAAGUAUAAAAAGAAAGCUCCUCUUUGAAAUUACUCUCAAAAUCUUUAUUAGGAUUGUUUUUAUUUUGCCUUUUUCGAGCGUGUGAUUUUAAUGACAGAUUGUGGGACUGAUAGAUUGUGUAUUUGUAAUAUCCGAUAUGCUAAUAAUGCUAGCGAUGCUAUUAACACUCUGCUUCGUAUAGCUAAAACUUUAGAUUCCUGUGCUGUAGGAUUUAAAAUUUUCUGUUAACUCCCUGAGUAUAACUCCGAGGUACUAAACCGUACACUUUCCAGGGAGAAGGGUGCCAUUGCAGAUGUGUUUGUAAGUUUUACUUCGAUUUUGGAUAACAAACUAACCACAUUACCACUUUUUUUUUUUUUAGUUAAUUAACCAUAUUACCACUUAUUUUUGUUAGUUAGAACUCAAAUUUCAUGGCCAAAAAACAAUUGGUGGGUCUUGAAUGCAGCAUCAGCUCUUUUGGUUAGUGGCAGUCUAACCAAACUUGGCGGAAGGGGUUUCCAUGGUUAGCACAGCUUCAUGUUAUAAAGGAUGAAUAGGGUUCUAAAAGUUUUCUACUUGCUGGUUUUUGUUGGCAGGAUAUGUCUAAGCAGUCUUCGAACCAAGAGCUAGUAGCUAGAUAUUUGCAAGGUGACAAAUGGCAUUUUUGCCAUAUCUUUCAAGGUCACCCAAAGAGACAGCUUCUUCAAAGUAGGUGGAGUCUUUUUAUCAGCUUAAAGAAGUCUGUUGCUGGUGAUGCUUUUAUUUUUCCCAGGGGUGAAACCGGAGACCUUCAUACUGCUGUAAGAUGAGCUAUGAGGCAAUUUAGUAAUGUUCCAUCUUCAGUCAUAUCUGGUCACAGCAUGCAUAUUGGUGUAGUUGCAACUGCAUGGCACCUGUUUCAGUGGAUACAAUGUUCAACUGUCCAUUACAAGCGAAGGGAAAGAGGAGUCCACUAGGAGGAUCAUAAGAUUCAUGGAGAAAGCAACCUUAAGGAUGUUAGACAGUGAAAUAAGGGAGCAGGUUUGUGCAAAUUCAGUGUUUAGUAAGCUAGCACAGAAGGAGCAUAUUCUUCUGCAAGGACAUCUCCUUUUCAAAUGACAAAUAAAGGCGGAGGAUCAAAUUCUUGCUUGGCAGGUUACUUCUACUAGAAUGCCAUGCUGACCUUCGUACAGAUUUUGUUGGUGCUGAAGUAAAAUAGGCGCCUAGCCACCACAAAAAGAGUGCCAUCGGUUGUGGGUCUCUUUUGACUUCUGAGAGUAACUAAUAAAUAUUUAAUUUCUUUUGGGAUUCAAUUCAAUCAUUCUGAUGUGGUUGUAAUUUGUUUAACUUCAACUUCAUUAUUCCUUUUUUCUCAAGCUAAACUGCAAAAGAGGUUUAGUUCUUUCAUCA